rnacentral:rRNA from 1 species
UACGUAGGGGGCAAGCGUUGUCCGGAUUUAUUGGGCGUAAAGAGCGUGUAGGCGGCCAGACAGGUCAGCCGUGAAAACUCGAGGCUCAACCUCGAGACGUCGGUUGAAACCGUCUGGCUAGAGUCCGGAAGAGGAGAGUGGAAUUCCCGGUGUAGCGGUGAAAUGCGCAGAUAUCGGGAAGACCACCAGUGGCGAAGGCGGCUUGCCAGAACGCACUCGACGGUGAGGGAUGAAAGCUGGGGGAGCAAACCGG